GCUGACGGCCAAAGCGAAGGGGAAACACCCAGUCUCCAUUUCGAACCUGGAAGUUAAGCCCUUCAGCGAUAUGGCGUGUACUGUUGCGCAUGCAACGGGAAAGUCAGGACGCUGUCAGCA
rnacentral:rRNA from 1 species